AGCAAACGCUGGCGGCAGGCCUAACACAUGCAAGUCGAACGCCCAGCAAUGGGCGUGGCAGACGGGUGAGUAACGCGUGGGAACGUACCCUUCGGUUCGGAAUAACUCAGGGAAACUUGGGACAAUACCGGAUACGUCCGUAAGGAGAAAGAUUUAUCGCGGAAGGAUCGGCCCGCGUUGGAUGAGCUAGUUGGCGGGGUAAUGGCGCACCAAGGCGACGAUCCAUAGCUGGUCUGAGAGGAUGAUCAGCCACACUGGGACUGAGACACGGCCCAGACUCCUACGGGAGGCAGCAGUGGGGAAUAUUGGACAAUGGGCGCAAGCCUGAUCCAGCCAUGCCGCGUGAGUGAUGAAGGCCCUAGGGUUGUAAAGCUCUUUCAGCGGGGAAGAUAAUGACGGUACCCGCAGAAGAAGCCCCGGCUAACUUCGUGCCAGCCGCCGCGGUAACAC
rnacentral:rRNA from 1 species